GCCGAGGUGGCGAAAUGGUAGACGCGCACGCUUGAGGUGCGUGUGGGGUAACCCAUGGAGGUUCAAGUCCUCUCCUCGGCA
rnacentral:tRNA from 1 species